rnacentral:rRNA from 1 species
GCUCAGGAUGAACGCUGGCGGCGUGCCUAAUACAUGCAAGUCGAGCGAACAGACAAGGAGCUUGCUCCUUUGACGUUAGCGGCGGACGGGUGAGUAACACGUGGGUAACCUACCUAUAAGACUGGGAUAACUUCGGGAAACCGGAGCUAAUACCGGAUAAUAUUUCGAACCGCAUGGUUCGAUAGUGAAAGAUGGUUUUGCUAUCACUUAUAGAUGGACCCGCGCCGUAUUAGCUAGUUGGUAAGGUAACGGCUUACCAAGGCGACGAUACGUAGCCGACCUGAGAGGGUGAUCGGCCACACUGGAACUGAGACACGGUCCAGACUCCUACGGGAGGCAGCAGUAGGGAAUCUUCCGCAAUGGGCGAAAGCCUGACGGAGCAACGCCGCGUGAGUGAUGAAGGUCUUCGGAUCGUAAAACUCUGUUAUUAGGGAAGAACAUACGUGUAAGUAACUAUGCACGUCUUGACGGUACCUAAUCAGAAAGCCACGGCUAACUACGUGCCAGCAGCCGCGGUAAUACGUAGGUGGCAAGCGUUAUCCGGAAUUAUUGGGCGUAAAGCGCGCGUAGGCGGUUUUUUAAGUCUGAUGUGAAAGCCCACGGCUCAACCGUGGAGGGUCAUUGGAAACUGGAAAACUUGAGUGCAGAAGAGGAAAGUGGAAUUCCAUGUGUAGCGGUGAAAUGCGCAGAGAUAUGGAGGAACACCAGUGGCGAAGGCGACUUUCUGGUCUGUAACUGACGCUGAUGUGCGAAAGCGUGGGGAUCAAACAGGAUUAGAUACCCUGGUAGUCCACGCCGUAAACGAUGAGUGCUAAGUGUUAGGGGGUUUCCGCCCCUUAGUGCUGCAGCUAACGCAUUAAGCACUCCGCCUGGGGAGUACGACCGCAAGGUUGAAACUCAAAGGAAUUGACGGGGACCCGCACAAGCGGUGGAGCAUGUGGUUUAAUUCGAAGCAACGCGAAGAACCUUACCAAAUCUUGACAUCCUUUGACAACUCUAGAGAUAGAGCCUUCCCCUUCGGGGGACAAAGUGACAGGUGGUGCAUGGUUGUCGUCAGCUCGUGUCGUGAGAUGUUGGGUUAAGUCCCGCAACGAGCGCAACCCUUAAGCUUAGUUGCCAUCAUUAAGUUGGGCACUCUAAGUUGACUGCCGGUGACAAACCGGAGGAAGGUGGGGAUGACGUCAAAUCAUCAUGCCCCUUAUGAUUUGGGCUACACACGUGCUACAAUGGACAAUACAAAGGGCAGCGAAACCGCGAGGUCAAGCAAAUCCCAUAAAGUUGUUCUCAGUUCGGAUUGUAGUCUGCAACUCGACUACAUGAAGCUGGAAUCGCUAGUAAUCGUAGAUCAGCAUGCUACGGUGAAUACGUUCCCGGGUCUUGUACACACCGCCCGUCACACCACGAGAGUUUGUAACACCCGAAGCCGGUGGAGUAACCAUUUGGAGCUAGCCGUCGAAGGUGGGACAAAUGAUUGGGGUGAAGUCGUAC